rnacentral:lncRNA from 1 species
GAUCAACUUGUUCGCAUCAAGUAUGCCAUGCAGUGAAAGUGAGGAUGCUACUAUGCAGUUUAAUCUACAAGAAUAAGAACAUAAUAUAAGUAGAUAACUCAUGAUAACAUGUACAACUAGAUUAGGACUUUUGUCUAAUUGUGUCUCUCAUCUUUUUAUCAAAUUUCAUAGCCCUCAAGUAUGAAAAUGAGAAAUAUCAAUCAUGUUUCUAAAUGGGGUUGAGAUCUCUAUUCCUCACAAACACC